ACUGAGGUGUGGCAUAUUUACCUUCUAGCGCUUGGGGACCAUGAUGUGGAGAUUUGGGGGUGGUGCUGGUUUUGCCAUAAAAACAUGUACAGAGGGCAUGGCUUGGGAAGUUGCGCAACUCAAGAACCCUGUGUGGCACCCAAAGAGAUCAGAUGGGUAUAUUCUCACAUUGCUGGCAAUGAAAGGUAUGGCAACGAAUGAGCAAAUGGGCAGCUCGUCAUCUUCCCUGUCUCAUCAUUUUUUUCCCAAAUUUAGAGUGAAAGACACGUCGAAAGGAUGGAGCUGCUGUGAAAAUGGAUUGGCCAAUGUAAGCUCUGACAUAAUCUUUGCACCUGCUAGCUUAUGACAAAUGCUGAUAUGCCCUCAUUUUUUCAAUCCUAUUUUGGCACACACAUCAAGAUGCUGUAGGCUCCACUGCUGCUCAUGCAGCACUGAUUUGAAAAUGAAUGGCUGCAGUUGUCAUAAUUAUUGGCAUCAUGUUUAAUGAAGACUAAAAUUAGAAGAUAUUUUUGAAUUUCUU